UACGUAGGGUGCGAGCGUUGUCCGGAAUUAUUGGGCGUAAAGGGCUCGUAGGCGGUUUGUCGCGUCGGGAGUGAAAACUCAGGGCUUAACCCUGAGCCUGCUUCCGAUACGGGCAGACUAGAGGUAUGCAGGGGAGAACGGAAUUCCUGGUGUAGCGGUGAAAUGCGCAGAUAUCAGGAGGAACACCGGUGGCGAAGGCGGUUCUCUGGGCAUCACCUGACGCUGAGGAGCGAAAGUGUGGGGAGCGAACAGG
rnacentral:rRNA from 1 species